AUACCAUGAUGUGGGCACUUUCAAAGUAAUUCCUUAAACCUUUCCCAAGCAUCAUACAGUGAUUAUCCAUCCAUCUGAUGGAAGUUAUUAAUUUCUCCUUGAUAAC